rnacentral:rRNA from 1 species
UUCUUCGGAGAGUUUGAUCCUGGCUCAGGACGAACGCUGGCGGCGUGCCUAAUACAUGCAAGUCGAGCGAAUCGACGGGAGCUUGCUCCCUGAGAUUAGCGGCGGACGGGUGAGUAACACGUGGGCAACCUGCCUAUAAGACUGGGAUAACUUCGGGAAACCGGAGCUAAUACCGGAUACGUUCUUUUCUCGCAUGAGAGAAG